AAUAAAAAAGAAUACAAGAGACAGUAAGCGUAAAUGGUACCCGUACCUGAUUGCUAGAUAAUUAAGGUCGUAAAAUUCUUCAACAACUAAACAACACUAGCAGGAGUGACUAUUGUUUAAGGCUAUUCAAAAAGAAUAACUCUAAGCCCAGAGUAAAUCCAUUAAGGAUACUCAGAAAAGAGGAAGUUGA